UGUGGACUUGUAUGAAGAUAAGGAACAUUCGGCCCUAGCUUGGUGUGGGCAAAUUUUGUGUAUUUUGUGUUUUGUGCAAAAAGGACUAAAUUGCAAAAAGUGUAAAAUGUUAGGGGCAAAAUGGUAAUUUGCCCAUUUAUGUAUUUUUGGAUUUAAUUGAAUGUUUUGAUGAAUAAAAAGGUUAAAUUUGAAUAUGUUUAGAUCGAGAAACGAAGAAAACGGAUUUGGAUCGGGGAAAAACGAAAGUAGUUGAAUAGUCGAUCGUGUCCGCUGAUAUCCGAGUUAAAAACCAAGCUGCAGACUCGGGGAUCGUUAGCGAAGAUCAUCACUCUAUCUACUAUCUCGGUAUUAAAACGUUUAAAUUUUAACUUAUGGCAUGUAUAGGCUAAAUAAAAUUUUGGGAGUUGUACUUUAAUGUACUGUAUAUAUAUAAUUAAUAGCCAUAUGAAACUAGCUUAUUUUUCUUACGGUUUAACUGAACUGAAAUAUUAUGUUUUGUUAUAAAAGGUUAAAGUAAAAUUUAUAAUUAUACUUACUUCA